GGGGGGGGGGGGGGGUCUAAUGCCAGCUCCCCCAGCUCGUCCCGGCGCUGGUCCCCGUCCCCAAUCCCCAGCUUUCAGCAAAGCCACCCGCAGAACAAACAGGGAUUUAGGGUCUGGGUGAGCUCAGCAGAUUCCCCCCGGGUGGCGACGCAGGGGGGAGGUCCCGGUGCCCCCCCUCCCUCGGUGCCCCACACAACGAGGCCGCCUUGGUGCCAGGACUGCGUUUAUUUGCGGUUUCUCUCCGCGCACAAAGCGGUGACAGUGAGGGGGGCCUGGCGGGGGGGGGGCCCGGAUGGAGCGGAGUUGGGGGGCAAAUAAACCCACGUGGGGCUGGGACACCCCCAGCCCGGCCUGGCUGCACGCAGCCCCCCCCCCCCCCCCCCCACCCUGGGACCCUCCCCACAAAGCGCUCACCCACAAAGCUCUGCUUCUUGCUGUCCCACAGCGGGGCCGCCCGCACGCCAUUGGUGACCAGUGCAAAGAAAGCCUUCUUCACCUACAGCACGGACACAGAGAGGGGUUGGGGUACAUUAGGAUUCCCUCCCCCCCAAGCAGCCCAGAGGGUCGGCCCCCAACCCCAUUCCCCCCCCCCCAAACCUGCAGGGAAGUGUCAAAGACGACAAGUUUGGAGCUGGUGGGGAUGAGGUCGUAGCAGCGGUGCGACUUCAUGAAGGCGGUGUAGGCGCCGCGGAGGGGCUCCCCUGGGGGGGGGGACGGGGGGACGGCAGCAUUGGAACCCCAAAGCAAGGCACCCCAAAACAACAAGGGGCUCCCCGACACCGGGGAACCCCAAACCUGAGAUGCCUCGCAACGUGGAUGACUCCAACACCGGAGCACCACGACACACGGGGAGACCCCAACAGGUAAGACACCCCAAUACCACGAGAGCCCAGAACACGAGAGAUCCCAACACAGAGACCCCCCCCCAAAAGCGGAAGACACCCCAACACCGCCCAGCACCCAACGCCGGGAGACCCAAACCCAUGACGCACCCCAGCACCGGGACACCCCAAACCACGCGGACCCCAAC
rnacentral:lncRNA from 1 species